rnacentral:rRNA from 1 species
AUUGAACGCUGGCGGCAGGCCUAACACAUGCAAGUCGAGCGGAUGAAGGGAGCUUGCUCCUGGAUUCAGCGGCGGACGGGUGAGUAAUGCCUAGGAAUCUGCCUGGUAGUGGGGUAUAACGUCCGGAAACGGGCGCUAAUACCGCAUACGUCCUUAGGGAGAAAGUGGGGGAUCUUCGGACCUCACGCUAUCAGAUGAGCCUAUGUCGGAUUGGCUAGUUGGUGGGGUAAAGGCCCAACAAGGCGGCGAUCCGGAACUGGUAUGAGAGGAUGAUCAGUCACACUGGGAAGGGGACACGGUCCCGACUCCUACGGGAGGCACCAGGGGGGAAUAUUGGAAAAUGGGCGCAAGCCUUAUCCAGCCAUGCCGCGGGGGGGAAGAAGGCCUUCGGGUUGUAAAGCCCUUUUGGUGGGAAAGAAAAGCAGCAAAGUAAUACCCCGCUUUUUUGACGGUACCCAAAGAAUAAGCACCGGCUAACUUCGUG